UGGGGAAUUUUGCACAAUGGGCGCAAGCCUGAUGCAGCGACGCCGCGUGAGGGAUGAAGGCCUUCGGGUUGUAAACCUUUUUCGCUCAUGGUCAAGCCGCAGCUUUGGGUUGUGGUGAGGGUAGUGGGUAAAGAAGCGCCGGCUAACUACGUGCCAGCAGCCGCGGUAAUACGUAGGGCGCGAGCGUUGUCCGGAAUUAUUGGGCGUAAAGGGCUUGUAGGCGGUUGGCCGCGUCUGCCGUGAAAUCCUCUGGCUUAACUGGGGGCGUGCGGUGGGUACGGGUUGACUUGAGUGCGGUAGGGGAGACUGGAAUUCAUGGUGUAGCGGUGGAAUGCGCAGAUAUCAGGAGGAACACCGGUGGCGAAGGCGGGUCUCUGGGCCGUUACUGACGCUGAGGAGCGAAAGCGUGGGGAGCGAACAGG
rnacentral:rRNA from 1 species